rnacentral:rRNA from 1 species
AUUGAACGCUGGCGGCAUGCCUUACACAUGCAAGUCGAACGGCAGCACGGGGCAACCUGGUGGCGAGUGGCGAACGGGUGAGUAAUGCAUCGGAACGUACCUUUCAGUGGGGGGUAACGUAGCGAAAGUUACGCUAAUCCCGCAUAUUCUGUGAGCAGGAAAGCAGGGGAUCGCAAGACCUUGCGCUGAUUGAGCGGCCGAUGUCAGAUUAGCUAGUUGGUGAGGUAAAGGCUCACCAAGGCGACGAUCGGUAGCGGGUCUGAGAGGAUGAUCCGCCACACUGGAACUGAGACACGGUCCAGACUCCUACGGGAGGCAGCAGUGGGGAAUUUUGGACAAUGGGGGCAACCCUGAUCCAGCCAUGCCGCGUGAGUGAAGAAGGCCUUCGGGUUGUAAAGCUCUUUCGGCCGGGAAGAAAUCGCACGGGCUAAUACCCUGUGUGGAUGACGGUACCGGAAUAAGAAGCACCGGCUAACUCCGUUCCAGCAGCCGCCGUAACAC